AGACAACAAUAGAUUAUAAUAUGGUCAAGUUUCUGAUUAUUGCAAUGGCGCUGGUGGCUGUGGCGUUAGCCGCCCCUGAUGAUGAUGACCACAAGAGCCACGACAGCCCCGGAUUUCUUGAAAAAGUUCUUGCUCAUAGUCACGAACACGGUGGUGUCAGUAACGGACAUCUUGGGAAAGUUCUUUCUCACAAUCACGAAAACGGCGGUGCCAGAAACGGGCCUGUUGGAAAAGUUCUUUCUCACAUUCAUGAACACGGCGGUGCUGGUGACGGACCUGUAGCAAAGGUCCUCAAACAUGUCGGUGAUCACAAACACAGUGAUUCCAAAAUUUCCAAUCGCAGAGUGCACGCACCAAUGUCCACGUCCAAGAAUCACGAUAACCAAUCCACUGUUUAAAAUGUUUGAUUCUUA